rnacentral:lncRNA from 1 species
GGAAAUAAAAUGAACCUGGCACGAAACCAUGUUGUAUGAUAAAAGGGAGUUAGCUUGUUUAGGCCUUGCCAGACUCCUCGCAGCCUGGUGGCUUGAAGGCGAUGAAGCUGACGCACUGCACCUGACGCAUGUUGUCGAAUCCGAUGAUGCGGACAUAGGCGUCAGGGUACUCCUUCUUGACCUCCUCCACUUCGUUUAACACCUGUGUGGCGUCGGUGCACCCAAACAUAGGUAGCUUCCACAUUGUCCAGUAUCGGCCAUCGUAAUACCCUGGAGAGGCAUUGUGCUCACGGAAGAUGAAUCCAACCUUGCUGAACUCGAGACAAGGCACCCACUUGGAGCGGAUCAGGUAGUCGACCUGCUUCAGGAGUGCCUCCGUGGAGAGCGGUGGCAAGUAAGACAAAG